rnacentral:rRNA from 1 species
AUUGAACGCUGGCGGCAGGCUUAACACAUGCAAGUCGAGCGGAGAUGAGGUGCUUGCACCUUAUCUUAGCGGCGGACGGGUGAGUAAUGCUUAGGAAUCUGCCUAUUAGUGGGGGACAACAUUCCGAAAGGAAUGCUAAUACCGCAUACGUCCUACGGGAGAAAGCAGGGGAUCUUCGGACCUUGCGCUAAUAGAUGAGCCUAAGUCGGAUUAGCUAGUUGGUGGGGUAAAGGCCUACCAAGGCGACGAUCUGUAGCGGGUCUGAGAGGAUGCUCCGCCACACUGGGACUGAGACACGGCCCAUACUCCUACGGGAGGCAGCAGUGGGGAAUAUUGGACAAUGGGUGGAACCCUGAUCCAGCCAUGCCGCGUGUGUGAAGAAGGCCUUAUGGUUGUAAAGCACUUUAAGCGAGGAGGAGGCUACUGAGACUAAUACUCUUGGAUAGUGGACGUUACUCGCAGAAUAAGCACCGGCUAACUCUGUGCCAGCCGCCGCGGUAAAAC